UGUCCCCAACCUAGGUAGAAGGGCAUCUGGUUGGUGAUGCCCAUCUCAUAUCAGCCAGGGAUAAGCAAUCCCUUGUGUUUUCCAACAUGGUUUUUGGUCUGUGACCAUGCCUGGUUCAUGCCUUGGACACACAG